rnacentral:rRNA from 1 species
UACGUAGGGUGCAAGCGUUAAUCGGAAUUACUGGGCGUAAAGCGUGCGCAGGCGGUUAUGUAAGACAGAGGUGAAAUCCCCGGGCUCAACCUGGGAACUGCCUUUGUGACUGCAUAGCUAGAGUACGGUAGAGGGGGGGAUGGAAUUCCGCGUGUAGCAGUGAAAUGCGUAGAUAUGCGGAGGAACACCGAUGGCGAAGGCAAUCCCCUGGACCUGUACUGACGCUCAUGCACGAAAGCGUGGGGAGCAAACAGG